AACGAACGCUGGCGGCAUGCCUAACACAUGCAAGUCGAACGAAGGCUUCGGCCUUAGUGGCGCACGGGUGCGUAACGCGUGGGAAUCUGCCCUUUGCUUCGGAAUAACAGUUAGAAAUGACUGCUAAUACCGGAUGAUGACUUCGGUCCAAAGAUUUAUCGGCAAAGGAUGAGCCCGCGUAGGAUUAGGUAGUUGGUGGGGUAAAGGCCUACCAAGCCGACGAUCCUUAGCUGGUCUGAGAGGAUGAUCAGCCACACUGGGACUGAGACACGGCCCAGACUCCUACGGGAGGCAGCAGUGGGGAAUAUUGGACAAUGGGCGCAAGCCUGAUCCAGCAAUGCCGCGUGAGUGAUGAAGGCCCUCGGGUCGUAAAGCUCUUUUACCCGGGAUGAUAAUGACAGUACCGGGAGAAUAAGCCCCGGCUAACUCCGUGCCAGCCGCCGCAGUAAAAC
rnacentral:rRNA from 1 species